UACGUAGGGACCAAGCGUUGUUCGGAUUUACUGGGCGUAAAGGGCGCGUAGGCGGCAAUUCAAGUCACUUGUGAAAUCUCCGAGCUUAACUCGGAACGGUCAAGUGAUACUGCUUUGCUAGAGUGCAGAAGGGGCAACCGGAAUUCUUGGUGUAGCGGUGAAAUGCGCAGAUAUCAGGAGGAACACCGGUGGCGAAGGCGGGUCUCUGGGCCGAUACUGACGCUGGAGGAGCGAAAGCGUGGGGAGCGAACAGG
rnacentral:rRNA from 1 species